rnacentral:miRNA from 2 species
UGUCAGAAGAGAGUGAGCAC